UACGUAGGGUGCAAGCGUUAAUCGGAAUUACUGGGCGUAAAGCGUGCGCAGGCGGUGAUGUAAGACAGGUGUGAAAUCCCCGGGCUUAACCUGGGAACUGCGUCUGAUACUGGGAGGCUUGAGUAUGGGAGAGGGAUGUAGAAUUCCAGGUGUAGCGGUGAAAUGCGUAGAUAUCUGGAGGAAUACCGGUGGCGAAGGCGGCAUCCUGGACCAUAACUGACGCUGAGGCGCGAAAGCUAGGGGAGCAAACGGG
rnacentral:rRNA from 1 species